UACGGAGGGUGCAAGCGUUAUCCGGAUUCACUGGGUUUAAAGGGUGCGUAGGUGGAGUGGUAAGUCAGUGGUGAAAUCUCCAAGCUUAACUUGGAAACUGCCGUUGAUACUAUCAUUCUUGAAUAUCGUGGAGGUAAGCGGAAUAUGUCAUGUAGCGGUGAAAUGCUUAGAUAUGACAUAGAACACCGAUUGCGAAGGCAGCUUGCUACACGAUCAUUGACACUGAGGCACGAGAGCGUGGGGAUCAAACAGG
rnacentral:rRNA from 1 species